UACGUAGGGUGCAAGCGUUGUCCGGAAUUAUUGGGCGUAAAGAGCUCGUAGGCGGUCUGUCGCGUCUGCUGUGAAAACUCAGGGCUUAACCCUGAGCUUGCAGUGGGUACGGGCAGACUAGAGUGCGGUAGGGGAGACUGGAAUUCCUGGUGUAGCGGUGAAAUGCGCAGAUAUCAGGAGGAACACCCGUAGCGAAGGCGGCACUCUGGGCCGAUACUGACACUGAGGAGCGAAAGCGUGGGGAGCGAACAGG
rnacentral:rRNA from 1 species